GUUACUUCUUCUUUUUUUUUUUUUAAAUUGAGACAGCAUCUCACUCUGUCACCCGGGCUGGAGUGCAGUGGCACGAUCUUGGCUCACUGCAACCUCCACCUCCCGGGUUCAAGCGAUUUUCCUGCCUCAGCCUCCCGAGUAGCUGGGAUUACAGGGGUGCGCUACCAUGCCCAGCUAAUUUUUGUAUUUUUAGUAAAGAUGGGGUUUCACCAUGUUGGCCAAGCUGGUCUCGAACUCUUGACUUCAGGUGAUCCGCCCACCUCGGCCUCCCAAAGUGCUGGGACCACAGGUGUGAGCCACUGUGCCUGACCUAUUUUGUUACUUCUUGAAGCUGGUAACACCACCACUGUCAUCCGGUGGUGAGAUGGGGACCAGGAAACAGUCACAAAGAAAACACUGACCCCUCCUCCAUGGAGCUCACGGUCAGCUGGGUGGUCAGAGUUAGAAAUGAAUAACAGAGUCCAGUGGAAGUGUGUUAUACAAGGACUUCAUCUCAGGGGACAGGGGAGAGUUCUGGGAAAGGAUGGAUAUUUAAGCUUAGGCCAGGGUUUCUCAACUGCAGCACUGCUGAUAAUGGGCCUGUUCACUCUCAGCUGUGGGCUGUCCUGUGCAUUAUAGGAUGCUGAGCAGCAUCCCUGGCCUUGAUAGAUGCUACGAGCACUUUUCCUCUAUGAGUUUGCUAGGGCUGCCAUAUCAAAGUUCCACCAGCUAGGUGGAUUAAACAGCAAAAAUACAUUGUCUCACUGUUCUGGAGGCCGCAAGCUCGAGAGCAAGGUGUUGGCAGUGUUGGUUCCUUUUGAAGCCUCUCCUUGGUGUGUAGAUGGCCAUCUUCUCUCUAUAUCUUCACAUCAUCUUCCCUCUGUACAUGUCUGUGUCCAAAUGUCGUCUUCUUGUGAUAGGGUUUGGAUUUGUGUCCCUGCCUAAAUCUCAUGUCCAAUUGUAAUCUCCAGUGUUGGAGGAAGGGCUUGGUGGGAGGUGACUGGAUCAUGGGGGUGGACUUCCCCCUUGCUGUUCUCUUGAUAGUGAGUGAGUUCUCACGAGAUCUGCUUGUUUAAAAGUGUGUAGCACCUCCCCCUUCACUCUCUUCCUCCUGCUCCAGCCAUGUAGCACGUGCCUGCUUCCCCUUUGCCUUCCGCCAUGAUUGUAAGUUUCCCGAGUCCUCCCCAGCCAUGCAUCCUGUACAACCUGUGGAACCAGGAGCCAAUUUAACCUCUUUUCUUUAUAAA
rnacentral:sRNA from 1 species